AGAGUUUGAUCCUGGCUCAGGACGAACGCUGGCGGCGCGCCUAACACAUGCAAGUCGAACGAGCGAGAGAGAGCUUGCUUUCUUGAGCGAGUGGCGAACGGGUGAGUAACGCGUGAGGAACCUGCCUCAAAGAGGGGGACAACAGUUGGAAACGACUGCUAAUACCGCAUAAGCCCACGGCUCGGCAUCGAGCAGAGGGAAAAGGAGCAAUCCGCUUUGAGAUGGCCUCGCGUCCGAUUAGCUAGUUGGUGAGGUAACGGCCCACCAAGGCGACGAUCGGUAGCCGGACUGAGAGGUUGAACGGCCACAUUGGGACUGAGACACGGCCCAGACUCCUACGGGAGGCAGCAGUGGGGAAUAUUGCACAAUGGGGGAAACCCUGAUGCAGCGACGCCGCGUGGAGGAAGAAGGUCUUCGGAUUGUAAACUCCUGUUGUUGAGGAAGAUAAUGACGGUACUCAACAAGGAAGUGACGGCUAACUACGUGCCAGCAGCCGCGGUAAAACGUAGGUCACAAGCGUUGUCCGGAAUUACUGGGUGUAAAGGGAGCGCAGGCGGGAGAACAAGUUGGAAGUGAAAUCCAUGGGCUCAACCCAUGAACUGCUUUCAAAACUGUUUUUCUUGAGUAGUGCAGAGGUAGGCGGAAUUCCCGGUGUAGCGGUGGAAUGCGUAGAUAUCGGGAGGAACACCAGUGGCGAAGGCGGCCUACUGGGCACCAACUGACGCUGAGGCUCGAAAGUGUGGGUAGCAAACAGGAUUAGAUACCCUGGUAGUCCACACCGUAAACGAUGAUUACUAGGUGUUGGAGGAUUGACCCCUUCAGUGCCGCAGUUAACACAAUAAGUAAUCCACCUGGGGAGUACGACCGCAAGGUUGAAACUCAAAGGAAUUGACGGGGGCCCGCACAAGCAGUGGAGUAU
rnacentral:rRNA from 1 species